UGGGGAAUAUUGCACAAUGGGCGAAAGCCUGAUGCAGCAACGCCGCGUGAGUGAUGAAGGUCUUCGGAUUGUAAAGCUCUGUCUUUUGGGACGAUAAUGACGGUACCAAAGGAGGAAGCCACGGCUAACUACGUGCCAGCAGCCGCGGUAAUACGUAGGUGGCGAGCGUUGUCCGGAUUUACUGGGCGUAAAGGGUGCGUAGGCGGAUGUUUAAGUGAGAUGUGAAAUACCCGGGCUUAACUUGGGUGCUGCAUUUCAAACUGGAUAUCUAGAGUGCAGGAGAGGAGAAUGGAAUUCCUAGUGUAGCGGUGAAAUGCGUAGAGAUUAGGAAGAACACCAGUGGCGAAGGCGAUUCUCUGGACUGUAACUGACGCUGAGGCACGAAAGCGUGGGUAGCAAACAGGAUUAGAUACCCUGGUAGUCCACGCCGUAAACGAUGAGUACUAGGUGUAGGAGGUAUCGACCCCUUCUGUGCCGCAGUAAACACAUUAAGUACUCCGCCUGGGAAGUACGAUCGCAAGAUUAAAACUCUAAAGGAAUUGAC
rnacentral:rRNA from 1 species